rnacentral:rRNA from 1 species
UACGUAGGUGGCAAGCGUUGUCCGGAUUACUGGGCGUAAAGGGCGUGCAGGCGGUUUGUUAAGUGCAGGGUGAAAGCUCCCGGCUCAACUGGGAGAGGUCCUUGCAUACUGGCAAACUCGAGGGAGGCAGAGGAAAGUGGAAUUCCCGGUGUAGUGGUGAUAUGCGUAGAUAUCGGGGAGGAACACCUGUGGCGAAGGCGGCUUUCUGGGCCUUACCUGACGCUGAGA